rnacentral:misc_RNA from 1 species
AUCCCUCAAAUCCCAAUGUUUUUUAAAAAGAAGCGUUGCUUGGAUUUGGUUGUGGGCCCUUGCAGUCUUUCACGAGUCUGCUGGCCUUAAAGAUAUUAGCUGGACCUCUCUAAUCUCUAAGCAGAGUACUUCCAUUUGAUGUAAUAAAAUUGCAUUGGUGGAAGCUCGACUUGGUAUCUAGAGCAAGUCUGCUUCUUAACCCGGCGCGAGUGGCAACACUCAACCCACUAUUUCAUAA